rnacentral:rRNA from 1 species
AGUGAACGCUGGCGGUAGGCCUAACACAUGCAAGUCGAACGGCAGCACAGUAAGAGCUUGCUCUUACGGGUGGCGAGUGGCGGACGGGUGAGGAAUACAUCGGAAUCUACUUUUUCGUGGGGGAUAACGUAGGGAAACUUACGCUAAUACCGCAUACGACCUACGGGUGAAAGCAGGGGAUCUUCGGACCUUGCGCGAUUGAAUGAGCCGAUGUCGGAUUAGCUAGUUGGCGGGGUAAAGGCCCACCAAGGCGACGAUCCGUAGCUGGUCUGAGAGGAUGAUCAGCCACACUGGAACUGAGACACGGUCCAGACUCCUCCGGGCGGCAGCAGUGGGGAAUAUUGGACAAUGGGCGCAAGCCUGAUCCAGCCAUACCGCGUGGGUGAAGAAGGCCUUCGGGUUGUAAAGCCCUUUUGUUGGAAAAGAAAAGCAGCAGGUUAAUACCCCGCUGUUCUGACGGUACCCAAAGAAGAAGCACCGGCGAACGUCG